UUAAUUUUGACAGUAUGUGCUGUACUAUUGAUAAUAAAAACAUAUUAAUAACAUGGUAUGAUAUUCCUAAUAAUGCCAAUGAAUUAAAUAAUGAGGAUAUGAAAGGAUAUUAAAUAAUAAGAAUAUGAGGAUAGAAAAGAAGAAGUAUAUAGAGAAGCAUUUUAUUGGACAGUACAAAAUUGUUUCUAUCUUUGUAUAAAGAAAACAUAGAUCUACUUGUACAAAGAAAAAUUAAAACAAAAAAGAUUCUGCAAAAAAUUUCAGAAAAAAUGAAAAUGCAAGGCUAUAAUGUUUCUGCAAUACAAGUAGAAAACAAAUAUAAAUUAUUGGAACGAUUUUAUAAAAAUGUAAUAACCCAUAAUAAAAAAAAUAGAAGAAAUAGAUUAAGUUGUCCUUAUGAGAUGGAAUUAGUAGAACUAUUAUAUUAGGCGGAAAAUAUAACAUUGAACCCUUAUUGUUAUCAGGAAAUAAAGGCAUAAUUUUAAAAAA